rnacentral:piRNA from 1 species
UUCGAAGAAGAUGCUCUUUCCUGGAC